GCUGCCAGCUCUCUCGAGCUCACUAGCCGUCGGCGUGGAGUGGAGAGAGGAGGCCCUGGGGUCGAGGGACGUCUUAGACGAAGAUAGAAGACCUGGAGGACCUGUGUGCGCACGUGGGUGUGCGCAGGCCGCGCAGGAAACUGCUGCCAGAAUUCGGCUCCAGGGCUCCGGACAGCUCUCUCCUGGCGCAUUUCACGUGCCGAGAAUCGCCGGCGCCCCCCGGCGGCUGUGGAGACGCCAGAGCACAGCGCGGCUCCGUGACCCACGCGGCCGAACGCGGCUUGCGAUCACUGGCAGAGACACGCACCAAAGACCGCGCCGCCACCCCGGAGUACCCCAGACUCGCAGCCGAGCCUUCUGAACGGUGUAUCUAGAGAAAGCACCAACCCAGCAUCCCAAAGGCUUUUAGGGAGAAACUCAGGCAAACUUCCACUUCCCGACGCUCAGCCUCCGCAACAUCCUCCCCGGGGCGCGCCGAACCCCGCAGCAGGACCUGAAGGAUCUUCCUGGCUUCUUCGUCAUUUAAGAAACUGAAAUCGAACCCCUGAGGAACUUUCGUCAUUUUCUCCACUGUGUGAAAAUGACAUAAAAGCUUCUAGAUAUGAGCAGCUGAAAGAACACAAUAAAUUGUCAUGCACUGAGAAGUUUGUGAAGUCCUGUAGCUGAGCCUGCGGACCUGCAAGAAUUGUCUACUAAAG